UUAUUGCCAGGCUCCCUUCAGCUGUGGAAGAAGUGGGAGGUCCUUGUAGACUUUAGCGAGAUCCACAGUUGAAGAAAUUGGGCAAGGCAGCCUUGAUGUCAGGGGCAGGUGCACAGAAGAGCAACUGUCUCAGAGGAAAGUGGGAAAGCAAGGGGGUGGGGUGCACCCUAAACUCAGUGUAGGGAAGCCACACCCCAUCUCCCCUGCAGGCCUUACUAAGCAACACCUAUGAAUAGAGUAGCUGAGCCAAGGCAGAAGGGACUCUGUUCCAGGGAGAGUCUGCAUGGGUAAGGGGUAGUGACAUCCCAGGCAGACUCUUCUGUCCUUUGGAGAAGAAGCUCCAAGCUACCUCAUUCAGUGCUGUGGAUCACAGCUUACAGCUGGGUUGGCUCCCUUUUACCUGACCCUGUCAUGAGCCUCAACUUCUUUUGUGUGACUCUUUGUCUCCUGGGAGCAGUAAGCCCCAUGGAUGCUGGAAUCACCCAGAAGCCAAGAUACCAUAUUACACAAACAGGAGGCAAGACGAUCCUGGAAUGUUCUCAGAAUAUGAGCCAUUUUGCAAUGUUCUGGUAUCGACAAGACCCGGGCCAGGGGCCAAGGCUGAUCCAUUAUUCAAGUGGUGUUAACAGCACUGCCAAAGGGGACAUCACAGAAGGGUACAGUGUCUCCCGAAAGAAGAUUGAGGAUUUCCCCCUGACCCUGGAGUCAGCCAGCACCAAGCAGACCUCCUUGUACCUCUGUGCCAGCAGUAAAUACACACUGCUACACAGCCAGCUGCUCUCUGCACAAAAAGGGCAGCCACCAGCAUGA